UGCUAGCUCCUCCGAUGUGACAGUGAUUGU
rnacentral:piRNA from 1 species